UCAGCUAAGAUCUCCUCUCCUCUCCCCUCCACGUUUUGUGACUUGUGAGGUGAGGAUUUCGGUAUCAAGGGUAGCUAAACCUCGCGCACGGCGCACCCACACCCCCUGCAAAACACCUCUCUCUCUCUCUCUCGCGUCCAAACCCUUUUGAUCCUGAGGGAUUAAUGGGCAUUGUAGGCUCUCUUUCACACUCUCGCGUCUGCUGAAUCACGGACCAAACACGAGCCAAAGAAGGGCGAGAGAGAGAGAGAGAGAGAGAGAGAGAGAGAGAGUACAGAAAAUUGAUCUUUUUUCGGUUGUGGAUGUUUGUUUAUCACCCGUCGCUUCAGUUUCCGGAAGUCGAACCAAAAGCUGCAAAUUUUCUCCCCCCCUUUGGAGCAUUUCAAUCCCAUUCGCCCAAACCGGCACUGUAUUAAACUCUACUCAAAUGGAGGAAGACAGAUUUAUGGAUUUUGAUAAGGUUGAAUUUGUUUAUUUAGCAUAGGAGUCUUAAGACUCUUCUUCAGUGACAAACAACUAGAAAGAGUCUUAACUGGUGAGGCUUAUUGUUUCUCCAGCUGUGAGAAUUAGAAACUUAAAUUUUGUAAAUCUGCUGAGAUUUGAUAUAAGAAAAUGUAGAUAAACGUUUACAUAUGCAUCAAAUUUAAGAAAACUUUAGUGGGUUUUUUCUUA